GGACCGGUGGUGUAGUGGUAAUACGUUGCGCCUGGACGUGGAGGGGAGUGGUUCGACUCCCUCCCGGUCCA
rnacentral:tRNA from 1 species